UUACGGUCACAUCACAUUAAAACACCGGUUCCCGUAUGAUAACCGAAGUUAAGUAACGUCCAGCCUAGUCAAUACCUAGAUGGGUGACCACUUAAGAAUAGCAGGAGCUGUAAG